UACGUAGGCAGCAAGCGUUGUUCGGAGUUACUGGGCGUAAAGAGUAUGUAGGCGGUUGCGUAAGUUCGGUGUGAAAUCUCCCGGCUUAACUGGGAGGGUGCGCCGAAAACUGCGUGGCUUGAGUGCGGGAGAGGAGAGCGGAAUUCCUGGUGUAGCGGUGAAAUGCGUAGAUAUCAGGAGGAACACCGGUGGCGAAGGCGGGUCUCUGGGAAGUAACUGACGCUGAGAAGCGAAAGCAUGGGUAGCAAACAGG
rnacentral:rRNA from 1 species